UCCAAUUCCACCACUGCUUCCUAUUUUCUAUCUUGGUACCAGAGCACUCAAUGAUCUCACACGUUUCCUCAUCCACCUUAAACCACAAAAAUGUCUUCACCUUUUUCUCUUGCUCUGUCAAGCUGGACAAAAACAACUAUGUGUUGUGGUAGUCACUAGUCCUUCACAUGAUCAAAUGACACAAAAUGUAUGGCUACAUCUCAGGCACAA
rnacentral:lncRNA from 1 species